rnacentral:rRNA from 1 species
GGGAAUAUUAGCACAAUGGGAGGAAACCCUGAUUGCAUGCCAUGCCUGCGUGUGUGAAGAAGGCCUUCGGGUUGUAAAGCACUUUCAGCGAGGAGGAAAGGGUGUAAGUUAAUACCUUACAUCUGUGACGUUACUCGCAGAAGAAGCACCGGCUAACUCCGUUGCCAGCAGCCGCGGUAAAUACGGAGGGUGCGAGCGUUAAUCGGAAUUACUUGGGCGUAAAAGCGUGCGCANGGCGGUGGAAAGCGAGAAUGUGAAAGCCCCCGGGGCUCCACCUGG